UUUUUUUGUUUAUAAUAUUUCAAUACAUUCUUGGACUGAAGUUUAAAAAAUGAGUGAACGACAACAUCCGUGAGGAUGCGCCAUCAGGUGCACAGUGUAGAAGUGGAGGUCAGGCCGAGCAAGCUCGCACCCUAAAAUUCACUAAUGAUCCUUCCGCAGGUUCACCUACGGAAA
rnacentral:misc_RNA from 1 species